AUUUAUGUAGUUUAAAUAAAACAUUACAUUUUCAUUGUAAAAAUAAAAAAAUUUUUUUUUGUAAAUA
rnacentral:tRNA from 1 species